rnacentral:rRNA from 1 species
CAGUCGCCGCGGUAAAACGUAGGGUGCAAGCGUUGUCCGGAAUUAUUGGGCGUAAAGAGCUCGUAGGCGGUUUGUCGCGUCUGCUGUGAAAUCCCGAGGCUCAACCUCGGGCUUGCAGUGGGUACGGGCAGACUAGAGUGCGGUAGGGGAGAUUGGAAUUCCUGGUGUAGCGGUGGAAUGCGCAGAUAUCAGGAGGAACACCGAUGGCGAAGGCAGAUCUCUGGGCCGUAACUGACGCUGAGGAGCGAAAGCGUGGGGAGCGAACAGGAUUAGAUACCCCUGUAGUCCCUGUCUCUUAUAC